rnacentral:lncRNA from 1 species
UUUCCUGUAUCCAAUAGCAGGAACAUUUUCUGCAUUACCCCAAACUUUGUCAUGAUGAAACAUCUUCUGUGAGAUCAGACCUGACUCCUGAUUGCUAUCACCAGCUGUUGUUACCAAGAAACCUGGAGACUUUCCAGAUAACCUGAAUGUUUUAGUACCAUAGAUGAUGGAUGAUAUUUUUCUGCGUCUCUUCUGCCGCUGUUAUGCGGUGAAGUUCAGCCACUCUGUACAAAGAUAAACUUCUGAA